rfam:Paenibacillus dendritiformis C454 PDENDC1000021, whole genome shotgun sequence.
AGAAUCGAGUGUAAAAACACGGUCCGGUUGGUAGUCCGGGCGCAUUCGCUUCCGCAAUGAAUAUCGCUGAUGCGGAUGUCAGUAACCUUCCCCCCUCGGGAUGUCCCUCACUCGAAGUCAAUUG